GCUGGCGGCGUGCUUACCAUGCAAGUCGAACGGAGUUUAGAUGAAAGCUUGCUUUUGACUAAACUUAGUGGCGGACGGGUGAGUAACGCGUGGGUAACCUGCCUUAUACAGGGGGAUAACAGUCGGAAACGACUGCUAAUACCGCAUAAGCGCACGGAAUCGCAUGAUUCAGUGUGAAAAGAUUUAUCGGUAUAAGAUGGACCCGCGUCUGAUUAGCUAGUUGGUGAGGUAACGGCCCACCAAGGCGACGAUCAGUAGCCGGCCUGAGAGGGUGAACGGCCACAUUGGGACUGAGACACGGCCCAAACUCCUACGGGAGGCAGCAGUGGGGAAUAUUGCACAAUGGGGGAAACCCUGAUGCAGCGACGCCGCGUGAGUGAAGAAGUAUUUCGGUAUGUAAAGCUCUAUCAGCAGGGAAGAAAAUGACGGUACCUGACUAAGAAGCCCCGGCUAACUACGUGCCAGCAGCCGCGGUAAU
rnacentral:rRNA from 1 species